CCUACGGGAGACAGCAGUAGGGAAUAUUGCUCAAUGGGGGAAACCCUGAAGCAGCAACGCCGCGUGGAGGAUGAAGGUUUUCGGAUUGUAAACUCCUUUUGUUAGAGAAGAUAAUGACGGUAUCUAACGCAUAAGCACCGGCUAACUCCGUGCCAGCAGCCGUGGUUAUACGGAGGGUGCAAGCGUUACUCGGAAUCAACGGGCGUAAAGGGCGCGUAGGCGGGUUAGCAAGUCAGAUGUGAAAUCCUAGGGCUUAACCAUAGAACUGCAUUUGAAACUGUUAGUCUAGAGUAUGGGAGAGGUAGGUGGAAUGUCUAGUGUAGGGGUGAAAUGCAUAGAUAUUGGGAAGAACACCGAUAGCGUAGGCAGGUUACUGGGACGGUUCUGACACUGAGGCACGAAAGCGUAGGGAGCGAACAGGAUUAGAUACCCGGGUAGUC
rnacentral:rRNA from 1 species